rnacentral:rRNA from 1 species
AAUCAACGCUGGCGGCGUGCCUCAGACAUACAAGUCGAACGAUUAAAGCUCUCUUCGGAGAGUGCAUAGAGUGGCGCACGGGUGAGUAACACGUAAGUAAUCUACCUUCGAGUGGGGAAUAACGUCCGGAAACGGACGCUAAUACCGCAUAAUGCAGCGGCAUCGUAAGAUGACAGUUGUUAAAGAUUUAUCGCUUGAAGAGGAGCUUGCGGCAGAUUAGCUAGUUGGUAAGGUAAUGGCUUACCAAGGCUACGAUCUGUAACCGGUCUUAGAGGACGGUCGGUCACACUGACACUGAAUAACGGGUCAGACUCCUACGGGAGGCAGCAGUCGGGAAUUUUGGGCAAUGGGCGAAAGCCUGACCCAGCAACGCCGCGUGAAGGAUGAAGUAUUUCGGUAUGUAAACUUCGAAAGAAUAGGAAGAAUAAAUGACGGUACUAUUUA